AACUCAACCUAUAAUAAGAGUUGUCAAAGCAUUCACUUGAUCAUAGAGUACAAAGAAUGGAUAUUAUGCAAGUUUAAGCAUCAAAAGAAUUUCCACUCUCAAAAGAUCCAAAUCAAAUUCUUCCACUAAAAGCUAAGUGUUAAUGUGAUUAGCUUCCGAGUAUAGUAUGGAUAACUAUCAUCUCCCCCCAACCUAAGUCUUUCUUUAAGCUUAGCAAAAUUAACCAUCUCUUGAUAGGCUAGGAACACACCUCUUAUUCACAAUUCUUUUCACUUACUAAACUUAACCAAUUCACCCAUGUAACAAGCAGAGGAUCG
rnacentral:lncRNA from 1 species